UAAUUUUUAAAUCCAAAGACAGAUUUCUGCCAAAGUACAACCAGUCAAAGUGCGCUAUUAGGACACUACCAGGUGUUUUCAUGUCUCUCUCUCUUUCUCUCUUGGGUCCGUCGCUUACUUCAGUGCUGUUCUUUCUCUUUGUGCGCGCAGUAAAUCAGAUCGAUACGGCGCAGCGCGUUCACAGCUGAUCAAACAGAUCUCUGCUCUCCAGCUCACAUCACCUGCUGCUGUCGCAAGAACUUCCUCUGACACAGGUGGGCCUGUGAUGCAGUAGUCUGUCAAGCCAGGACCUCGCUUGAGUUCUCCAGAAUGAGCUCCUCCCCUGAUCCAGCCCCUACGUCAGUCUCCCCUGUCCUGGACUCCGGCAAGGCUGAUCGAGGGGACUCGCCUAAACUCUUACCCCAUCUGUACACUUCCCCACUUGGCAUGGAUAACCAGACCAUCUGCAUUCCAUCUCCGUAUUUGGAAGCCUGUCAGGAUUAUUCACCACCGCACGGAGGAGAGUUUAACCAUGGAGCUUUAACUCUGUACAGCCCGGUUUCCUCCUCAGUGCUAGGGUACCCUCAUCCCCCCGUGUCUGAAAGCCUAGUCCCGCUCAGUCCCACAGUCUUCUGGCCUUCCCACACCACACACACUGCGCUGUCUCUGCACUGCCCACCUCCCCUGGCCUACAGCGAAACACACUCACACACUGCCUGGGACGAUGCCAAGAAACACACGCUUAACCAGAACAGUUCUGUCCUUACUCAUGCAAAGCUGUUAGGGCAGCAAGUGGAAGGUGAUGAUGGCUUGAAUCCUUCACCAGGCAUUGUGGGUAAAGGAGACACACACUUCUGUGCGGUGUGUCAUGACUACGCCUCUGGGUAUCACUAUGGUGUCUGGUCAUGUGAGGGGUGCAAGGCUUUCUUCAAACGGAGCAUUCAAGGACACAAUGACUAUAUUUGUCCAGCCACCAACCAGUGCACCAUUGACAAGAGCCGACGCAAGAGCUGCCAGGCCUGUCGACUCCGCAAGUGCUAUGAAAUGGGCAUGAUGAAGUGUGGUGUGAGGCGGGAACGCUGCAGUUACCGAGGUGCUCGUCAUCGCCGCAACCCCCAAAUCAGAGACAGCUCGGGUGGGGCGUUAGGGGUCAGAGGUUGUUCCCAGCAUCAUUUAGAAGUUCCUCUCAAUCCCACUCAUCACCUCUUCCCUUCAGGGGGCAGAGCUGAGGGGCGUGGCCUGAGCUUCUCCCCUGAGCAGUUGGUGAACUGUAUUCUGGAGGCGGAGCCUCCUCAGAUUUGCCUGAGAGAGCCAAUGAAGAAGCCGUACACGGAGGCCAGCAUGAUGAUGUCACUCACCAGCCUCGCUGACAAGGAACUGGUGCUCAUGAUCAGCUGGGCCAAGAAGAUACCAGGUUUUGUGGAGCUGACACUUUCAAAUCAGGUACAUCUAUUGGAAUGCUGCUGGCUGGAUAUUCUGAUGUUGGGAUUGAUGUGGAGAUCUGUGGAUCAUCCCGGGAAACUCAUCUUCUCACCUGACCUCAAACUGAACAGGGAUGAAUGGAAUUGUGUUGAAGGCAUCAUGGAGAUCUUUGACAUGCUGGUGGCCACCACCUCCAGAUUCAGAGAACUGAAGCUACAGAGGGAGGAAUACGUCUGUCUCAAAGCCAUGAUCCUUCUCAACUCUAAUAACUGUUCAAGCUUGUCACAGACUCCUGAAGAUGUGGAGAGUCGUGGGAAGGUUCUGAGGCUGCUGGACUCUGUAACUGACGCUCUGGUUUGGAGCAUCUCCAGAACGGGCUUGUCCUCUCAGCAGCAGUCCAUCCGGCUCGCCCAUCUGCUGAUGCUGCUUUCACACAUUCGACACCUCAGCAACAAAGGCAUUGAGCAUCUGUCAAACAUGAAAAGAAAAAACGUGGUGCUGCUGUAUGAUCUUCUGCUGGAGAUGCUGGACGCCAACACGUCCCAGAGCAACCGGAUGCUGGCGGCUCACACAGAAGCCUCUCUCCGGUCAGACACACAACAGACCCUCCACACAUCCAGACCGCAGCCUGCACCGAGAGAGAGAGACCAGGAGACCCGGCACAGUCCACACAAAUCAGCAUAUCAGAAUGAUUUCUGAAGGAUCAUGUGACACUGAAGACUGGAGUAAUGAUGCUGGAAACUCAGCUUUGACAUCACAGGAAUAAAUUGCAUUUUAGAGCUGAGGAGACAUUGCACUCUGGUCAUCAUCGAGAGGACAUGGAGACAGACUGACAGUCUUUCUUCUGUAUAGUAAUUGAAUUCGGACCAUCCAUCCUUUUUUUUUAAGCCACUUGUAUUGUGUAGGAGAUUUAAACCAGACCUGGGAAAAAGAACUGUAGGUUAUCAACGACAACCUGAACCAAACAAGGCUUACGAAUGCUGUUUAUUCCUACUUCAAGACAAUGCAGUUUGAACUAUAUUGUUUCCUUUUAUGCCAUAAUGUCAACCUGAAGAGAAAUUCAUGUCAUCCAAACCAAUCUUGUUCAAUGUUCAAGAAAUCACAAAUGGAAUCUUUUUAGGGCUGUAUCCAGUUCUUUUUAAUGUGAAGUGUGUCAUUUCUGUGCCACUAACGGUGCCAAACAGAAAAACACGAUUUAAACACUCCCCCUUUCUGCCAUUCCUCAGCAACCAGGUAGCCCCACCCCAAACUCAUGCUAUUGGUCGAGCUAGUGUAACGUUGUGUCCUUUUGGGCCAUUCAAACAUAUAGCAGAAAUUACACCAUGCACAUUUAAACAUUUUGUUUGUCAUCCAAGAUCUCUGAUUCAACCUGACUCAACCUCUGACUCAACAUGACUGUUUCUCUGACUGGCCAAACUAAAGGAAACGGUGCGCACACUUAGUUUAUGCAUUUUGUACUCCGUGUCUGUAUUUUUAAGUGGUGUUAUUUGCUGUCCUGUGGUGAUUUUGUGGUUUAUAAAGUACUUGUCAUUGAAAGUAAAUGUGACACUUUUAAAAACCUUUGCAGCUGUUCUCUUAAAGCCCAGAUUACAUGCACAAUCAGGUGUAUUAUUCUGGAAACAAUGACUUUUGUAAUUCCGGAUGCAUUUGAAGUAUUCCUGGUGCUACAAGUGUUAGUAAUGUUGCAUCCUGGAAAAAUGGCUUGUGCAAUUACAGCCUGCACCUGAAUUGCCCUGACAAACGGCAAUUGCCUUAAAGCUGGAGUGUAUAAUUUCUGCAUGUCACCAAGUAGUAUUACAAAAGUAUUUUUCUAACAUUUUUUCCAAACACUCCCUCAUCUGCCAUUGGUUGGACAAACACAGUCCCAAACUCAUGCCAUUGGUGAGCGUACUGUACUGAGCAGGUAGAGACACUCAAACAAACAGUAUUUUAACUCUUUCCCCACCACUGACGGCAUUUUCUGGUUUUCCGUGUUUUCACUGUUACAUUGUAGGGGGCACUAUUACACAUCUUCUGAAAGAGUACAGAAUCUCUGGAUCAAAACACAGGCAAAAAAGGAGCAGAAACAAGUAAUAAAAGCAUUACUUAUACACGUUGUAGACUUUGAACCCCCGCAAUUUUCUCAGAUUUUUGUUCAAAAUGUUGCUUUUUUUUUAUAAAACACCCAUAUUCAAGUGUUGAUAAAAAAAAAAAGAAUGCAUGAAACUUAAAAGCAGAGGCUCUGUUCUUUCGAUAUACUGCAUGUUCAGAUAUACAAACAACAAAAUAUUCUGGGGGCCAAUACAUUUUUGUAAAAAUUAUUGAAAAUGCUGGUGGUGGCUGGCAACGUUAAAAAAAAAAAAAAACGCUGGUGGGGAAAGAGUUAAUAGCUCCACUGAGAUUACAGUUUUUGGGAAGUUAACUUACAAACAGCUUAUAGUUUUUUGGUUAAACUGAGGUAACAGAAAGUAUUUUAACUAGUGCUGUCAAACAAUUAAUCGCAUCCAAAAUAAAAGUUUGUGUUUAUGUAA